AGGACGAACGCUGGCGGCGUGCUUAACACAUGCAAGUCGAGCGGAAAGGCCCUUCGGGGUACUCGAGCGGCGAACGGGUGAGUAACACGUGAGUAACCUGCCCUUGGCUCUGGGAUAGCUCCGGGAAACCGGAAUUAAUACCGGAUAUUACACCGGCUGGCAUCGGCUGGUGUGGAAAGAUUUAUCGGCUAAGGAUGGACUCGCGGCCUAUCAGCUUGUUGGUGGGGUAGAAGCCUACCAAGGCGACGACGGGUA
rnacentral:rRNA from 1 species